rnacentral:rRNA from 1 species
AAACUCAAAUGAAUUGACGGGGCCGCACAAGCGGUGGAGCAUGUGGUUUAAUUCGAUGCAACGCGAAGAACCUUACCUGGGCUUGACAUCCCGGGAAUCCCUUGGAAACAAGGGAGUGCCCUUCGGGGAACCUGGAGACAGGUGCUGCAUGGCUGUCGUCAGCUCGUGUCGUGAGAUGUUGGGUUAAGUCCCGCAACGAGCGCAACCCUUGUCAUUAGUUGCUACAUUCAGUUGGGCACUCUAAUGAGACUGCCGGUGACAAGCCGGAGGAAGGUGGGGAUGACGUCAAGUCCUCAUGGCCCUUAUAGGUGGGGCUACACACGUCAUACAAUGGCUGGUACAAAGGGUUGCCAACCCGCGAGGGGGAGCCAAUCCCAUAAAGCCAGUCGUAGUCCGGAUCGUAGUCUGCAACUCGACUACGUGAAGUCGGAAUCGCUAGUAAUCGUGGAUCAGAAUGUCACGGUGAAUACGUUCCCGGGUCUU